rnacentral:rRNA from 1 species
GUGAGGAAUAUUGCGCAAUGGAGGCAACUCUGACGCAGUCAUGCCGCGUGCAGGAAGAAGGCGCUACGCGUUGUAAACUGCUUUUAACCGGGAAGAAACCCCAGGACGUGUCCUGGGUUGACGGUACCGGAGGAAUAAGCACCGGCUAACUUCGUGCCAGCAGCCGCGGUAAUACGAAGGGUGCAAGCGUUAUCCGGAUUCAUUGGGUUUACAGGGUGCGUAGGCGGAGCGUUAAGUCAGUGGAGAAAUCCUGCAGCUUAACUGUAGACUUGCCAUUGAUACUGGCGCUCUUGAGUGCGCUUGAAGUGGGCGGAAUGUGCCGUGUAGCGGUGAAAUGCUUAGAUAUGGCACAGAACACCAAUUGCGAAGGCAGCUCACUAAGGCGAUACUGACGCUGAGGCACGAAAGCGUGGGGAUCGAACAGGAUUAGAAACCCGGGUAGUCC